GAUGAACGCUAGCGGCAGGCCUAAUACAUGCAAGUCGAACGAUAGAAGAGAGCUUGCUCUCUUCGAAAGUGGCGCACGGGUGCGUAACGCGUAUGCAACCUACCUUAAUCAGGGGGAUAGCCCGAAGAAAUUCGGAUUAACACCGCAUAAAAUCACAGUACAGCAUUGUACAAUGAUCAAAUAUUUAUAGGAUUAAGAUGGGCAUGCGUGACAUUAGCUAGUUGGCGGGGUAACGGCCCACCAAGGCGACGAUGUCUAGGGGAUCUGAGAGGAGAACCCCCCAAACUGGGAGUGAGACACGGACCAGACUCCUACGGGAGGCAGCAGUAAGGAAUAUUGGUCAAUGGAGGCAACUCUGAACCAGCCAUGCCGCGUGCAGGAAGACGGCCCUCUGGGUUGUAAACUGCUUUUAUUCGGGAAUAAACCUCAUUACGUGUAGUGAGCUGAAUGUACCGAAGGAAUAAGGAUCGGCUAACUCCGUGCCAGCCGCCGCUGUAA
rnacentral:rRNA from 1 species